AUUUAUUUGUGUUUUAUUUGUAAUAAGCAAAGUUAAAUCGAAUAUACUUCAAUGCUACAUAUGUGAUGACUGUGAUGAAGAGGAAGAACAAACCACAUAUUGCAACGACUUCGACGAUGAGAUUGAAA